UGGCAGCCCGCGUCCCUGUGUGAAGCCGUCUGCAGCAGCUGCCAGAGCCCUGCUUGCUGUUUCCUUUCUCACCACCCACCUCACCCGGAAAUCCCCUGGUGAUUUCAAGACCUGACCUCUGCACCCUUUUGCUCCCCACCUGUCCCAAAAAAGUGGAGCUAUAACUGUGGGAAAAGGGGAUCUGAAGUCAGACACAGGAUCCACAGUAGCCUGGGGACCUUUCUCACCCCCGCCCUUAAGCAGGCCCCAACAUAACCGGCUGAGAAACCUCCUCUGCCAGAUCCUGACCUGAGCCAGGAGGCGGCCAGGAAACUGGAUUUUGGGACUGGGAUUUCAGAGAGGAAGCUGGAGAGCUGCAGGGUGGUCAUCUGUCACUUUAUUUUGCCCGUCUUGUAGCAUUCUCGAAAAGGCACUCUGUCACGUGUACACAGGAAAGGGCCCUGACAAGAGGAUGGGACUGCAGUUGUGGCUGCCAGAGUCUUGCUUUGUCGCCCAGGUUGGAGUGCAGUGGCACGAUCUCGGCUCAGUGCAACCUCCGCCUCCUGAGUUCAAGUGAUUCUCCUGCCUCAGCCUCCCUAGUAGCUGGGAUUACAGGACAAGGAGAGGGACAAAUUCCUUCUUGGCAUCCUUAUGGCCCUGUGACCUGCUAAUGAAUGCUGACUCUGAGUUGCUACUAGAAUUUGGUUUCCUUGUGGCUUCCCAGGAAUUGUGAGCCAUGUUGGAUAAGGACCUGCAAGGGAAGAAUGAGGAAGCCUGGGACAGUGCAGGAGGGGAGAGCACUGGUGGUAGAGAGGAGUGAUGACAAGGGUCUCCGCCAAAAGGGAAAUGGAGGGGUUAAAGAAGCUGCUGGGGAGGGUUAAAAACAAUGUGUUCUCACUCGUAGGUGGGAAUUGAACAAUGAGAACACUUGGACACAGGAAGGGGAACAUCACACACUGGGGCCUGUCGUGGGGUGUGGGGAGGGAGGAGGGAUAGCAUUAGGAGAUAUACCUAAUGUAAAUGAUGAGUUAAUGGGUGCAGCACACCAACAUGGCACAUGUAUACCUAUGUAACAAACCUGCACAUUGUGUACAUGUACCCUAGAACUUAAAGUAUAAUUAAAAAACAAAACGGUCUCACUCUGCUCACUCUGUCUCCCAAGCUGGAGUGCAGUGGUACAGUCACGGCUCACUGCAGCCUCCACUUCCUGGACUCAAGUGAUCUUCUCACUUCAGCCUUCUGAGUAGCUGGGACUACAGCCCCCUCUGCAGCUCUUCAUGGGGGUCCACUCAAGUCAGAAGCCACAUUUGGGUGUGAUUCAGAGAGCUGUUUAUGCAAAACCAGCUUUGUCACCAUCAGGCAAGGCACCUGAAUUCCCACCGCAGAGAGUGUUGUGGCCGUGAGGACUUUUCUGUCACCAGCCAUUUCCAGGUAGACCCAGUGUAAUCACAAGCAUCCUUGUAAGUGGCAAAGAGGCAGAGGAGACAGCGCCAGAGAGGCAGCUGCAUGAGAAGGAUCAAGAUGUUGCUGACUUUGAAGUUGGAAGAAGAAGGCCAUGAGCCUCAGUAUGUGGGCGGCUUCUAGAAGCUGGAAGGGGCAAGGAGAUGGAUUUGACCCUUCAGCCUCCAGGGGCAGCUGUACCUGCCAUCACUGAUUGUAGCCUGGUGAGGCCUGUUUUAGACUUCUGACCUGUAGAGCUGUAACAUAAUACAUUUGGGUUGUUUUCAACCACUAAGUUUGUGGUAAUUUGUUGUAGCAGCUGUAGAAAAUGAAUACAUAUGAAUCCUCUGGCAUUUGUUUGAGAUUUGCUCUAUGGCCUAGUAUGUGGUUGUAAAUGUUCCAUCUGUGCCUGAAAAAAUGUAUAUUUCUAAUUCAGUAGUCUCUGCUUUUUUUUUUUAUUUUGUACCCCAUCAAUAAAAUGAUUUUCAGCAUGUAUCCCCAAAUAAACAAUAUUUUAUUUAUUGAUUGAUUGAUAAACAGACAUGUUUAAUGAUAGCUUGCUUUUCACAGAGGUGACUUCGGAGACUUCUAAUCUAUAAUCCAGGAGUAUAUAACCAUG
rnacentral:lncRNA from 10 species